UAGUCUGCAACUCGACUACAUGAAGAUGGAAUUGCUAGUAAUGGCGAGUCAGCAACAUCGCCGUGAAUACGUUCCCGGGUCUUGUACACACCGCCCGUCACAUCAUGGGAGUUGGUUUUACCCGAAGCCGCUGACUUAACCGCAAGGAGAGAGGCGUCUAAGGUAAGGCCGAUGACUGGGAUGAAGUCGUAACAAGGUAGCCCUUCCGGAAGGAGGGGCUGGAUCACCUCCUUU
rnacentral:rRNA from 1 species